UAAACGACUCUCGGCAACGGAUAUCUCGGCUCUCGCAUCGAUGAAGAACGUAGCGAAAUGCGAUACUUGGUGUGAAUUGCAGAAUCCCGUGAACCAUCGAGUCUUUGAACGCAAGUUGCGCCCGAAGCCUUUUGGCCGAGGGCACGUCUGCCUGGGCGUCACAC
rnacentral:rRNA from 1 species